rnacentral:rRNA from 1 species
AACGGUGGGCGCUAGUUUGUGGGAACCUUCCACGGUUUCUGCGACGCAGCUAACGCAUUAAGCGCCCCGCCUGGGGAGUACGAUCGCAAGAUUAAGACUCAAAGGAAUUGACGGGGCCCCGCACAAGCAGCGGAGCAUGCGGCUUAAUUCGACGCAACGCGAAGAACCUUACCAAGGCUUGACAUAUACAGGAAUAUGGCAGAGAUGUCAUAGCGGUAAAACGUCUGUAUACAGGUGGUGCAUGGUUGUCGUCAGCUCGUGUCGUGAGAUGUUGGGUUAAGUCCCGCAACGAGCGCAACCCUCGUUCUGUGUUGCCAGCAUUUAGUUGGGGACUCACAGGAGACUGCCGGGGUUAACUCGGAGGAAGGUGGGGAUGACGUCAAAUCAUCAUGCCCCUUAUGUCUUGGGCUGCACGCAUGCUACAAUGGCUGGUACAAAGGGCUGCAAUACUGCAAAGUGGAGCGAAUCCCGAAAAGCCAGUCUCAGUUCGGAUUGGGGUCUGCAACUCGACCCCAUGAAGUCGGAGUUGCUAGUAAUCGUAGAUCAGCAACGCUACGGUGAAUACGUUCCCGGGGCUUGUACACACCGCCCGUCACAUCACGA